rnacentral:rRNA from 1 species
AUGAACGCUAGCGACAGGCUUAACACAUGCAAGUCGAGGGGCAGCACAGGUAGCAAUACCGGGUGGCGACCGGCGCACGGGUGAGUAACGCGUAUGCAACUUACCUAUCUGAGGGGGAUAACCCGGCGAAAGUCGGACUAAUACCGCAUGAAGCAGGGGCCCCGCAUGGGGAUAUUUGCUAAAGAUUCAUCGCUGAUAGAUAGGCAUGCGUUCCAUUAGGCAGUUGGCGGGGUAACGGCCCACCAAACCGACGAUGGAUAGGGGUUCUGAGAGGAAGGUCCCCCACAUUGGUACUGAGACACGGACCAAACUCCUACGGGAGGCAGCAGUGAGGAAUAUUGGUCAAUGGCCGAGAGGCUGAACCAGCCAAGUCGCGUGAGGGAUGAAGGUUCUAUGGAUCGUAAACCUCUUUUAUAAGGGAAUAAAGUGCGGGACGUGUCCCGUUUUGUAUGUACCUUAUGAAUAAGGAUCGGCUAACUCCGUGCCAGCAGCCGCGGUAAUACGGAGGAUCCGAGCGUUAUCCGGAUUUAUUGGGUUUAAAGGGUGCGUAGGCGGCCUUUUAAGUCAGCGGUGAAAGUCUGUGGCUCAACCAUAGAAUUGCCGUUGAAACUGGGGGGCUUGAGUAUGUUUGAGGCAGGCGGAAUGCGUGGUGUAGCGGUGAAAUGCAUAGAUAUCACGCAGAACCCCGAUUGCGAAGGCAGCCUGCCAAGCCAUGACUGACGCUGAUGCACGAAAGCGUGGGGAUCAAACAGGAUUAGAUACCCUGGUAGUCCACGCAGUAAACGAUGAUCACUAGCUGUUUGCGAUACACUGUAAGCGGCACAGCGAAAGCGUUAAGUGAUCCACCUGGGGAGUACGCCGGCAACGGUGAAACUCAAAGGAAUUGACGGGGGCCCGCACAAGCGGAGGAACAUGUGGUUUAAUUCGAUGAUACGCGAGGAACCUUACCCGGGUUUGAACGCAUUCGGACCGAGGUGGAAACACCUUUUCUAGCAAUAGCCGUUUGCGAGGUGCUGCAUGGUUGUCGUCAGCUCGUGCCGUGAGGUGUCGGCUUAAGUGCCAUAACGAGCGCAACCCUUGCCACUAGUUACUAACAGGUAAAGCUGAGGACUCUGGUGGGACUGCCAGCGUAAGCUGCGAGGAAGGCGGGGAUGACGUCAAAUCAGCACGGCCCUUACAUCCGGGGCGACACACGUGUUACAAUGGCGUGGACAAAGGGAAGCCACCUGGCGACAGGGAGCGAAUCCCCAAACCACGUCUCAGUUCGGAUCGGAGUCUGCAACCCGACUCCGUGAAGCUGGAUUCGCUAGUAAUCGCGCAUCAGCCAUGGCGCGGUGAAUACGUUCCCGGGCCUUGUACACACCGCCCGUCAAGCCAUGGGAGCCGGGGGUACCUGAAGUCCGUAACCGCGAGGAUCGGCCUAGGGUAAAACUGGUGACUGGGGCU